rnacentral:rRNA from 1 species
UACGAAGGGGGCUAGCGUUGUUCGGAAUUACUGGGCGUAAAGCGCGCGCAGGCGGCUAUCCAAGUCAGUGGUGAAAGCCCGGAGCUCAACUCCGGAACUGCCAUUGAAACUGUUUAGCUUGAGGAUGAGAGAGGUGAGUGGAAUUCCCAGUGUAGCAGUGAAAUGCGUAGAUAUGCGGAGGAACACCGAUGGCGAAGGCAAUCCCCUGGGCCUGCACUGACGCUCAUGCACGAAAGCGUGGGGAGCAAACAGG